rnacentral:rRNA from 1 species
GAUGAACGCUAGCGGCAGGCUUAAUACAUGCAAGUCGAGGGGCAGCAGGACUGUAGCAAUACAGUUGCUGGCGACCGGCAAACGGGUGCGGAACACGUACGCAAUCUACCCGAAACUGGCGCAUAGCCCGGGGAAACCCGGAUUAAUACCCAGUAACACUUUGAAGUGGCAUCACUUUAUAGUUAUAGCUCCGGCGGUUUUGGAUGAGCGUGCGGCUGAUUAGGUAGGUGGCGGGGUAACGGCCCACCAAGCCUACGAUCAGUAACUGGUGUGAGAGCACGACCAGUCACACGGGCACUGAGACACGGGCCCGACUCCUACGGGAGGCAGCAGUAAGGAAUAUUGGUCAAUGGACGCAAGUCUGAACCAGCCAUGCCGCGUGGAGGAUGAAGGCCCUCUGGGUUGUAAACUUCUUUUAUAGGGGACGAAACCUCUUUUUCUUGAGAGACUGACGGUACCCUAGGAAUAAGCACCGGCUAACUCCGUGCCAGCCGCCGCCGUAAUAC